rnacentral:rRNA from 1 species
UACGCAGGGUGCAGGCGUUAAUCGGAAUUACUGGGCGUAAAGCGUGCGCAGGCGGCUUCUUAAGUCAGAUGUGAAAGCCCCGGGCUUAACCUGGGAACUGCGUUUGAAACUGGGAGACUUGAGUGUGGCAGAGGGGGGUGGAAUUCCACGUGUAGCAGUGAAAUGCGUAGAUAUGUGGAGGAACACCGAUGGCGAAGGCAGCCCCCUGGGUUAACACUGACGCUCAUGCACGAAAGCGUGGGGAGCAAACAGG